GACGGACCGUCCAAACGUUAUUCGGAAUCACUGGGCUUACAGAGUUCGUAGGCGGUCUGGAAAGUUGGGUGUGAAAUCCCUCGGCCUAACCGAGGAACUGCGCUUGAAACUACCAGACUCGAGGGAGAUAGAGGAAAGCGGAACUGAUGGUGGAGCGGUGAAAUGCGUUGAUAUCAUCAGGAACACCGGUGGCGAAGGCGGCUUUCUGGGUCUUACCUGACGCUGAGGAACGAAAGCCAGGGGAGCGAACGGG
rnacentral:rRNA from 1 species